ACUCCGUCAUAUGAUCAUGGUCUACCCACUGUUCUUGGUUAUAUGUAUGGAGCCGUAUUAAUAUCCAUGCUUGGGGAUGACUAGCAGAAAUAUAGUCAUCCCAGGUUAAGUAUUGAACCCCUGAAUGAGAGGUCAAGGUACCAGGUGGUUCCUUGUGAAGUGAUAAGAAUUAUGGUAUGUUACUGGUUGUGGAAUUGCCCAGUGUGUUAUGUAUUCAUAUGUAGUACCCAUGAACGAAUAACCUGAGAGUAUGAGGUUCUAACCACGAAUUGAGAAGACAUUGAGUGGGCAGUAUACUGUACACCUGCCAUGUUGAGAGUGUGAUGAACUGGGUUCAUCUCUUGAGUGUCACCAGAAAUGUCAUGUGUACAAAGGUUAUGUAAUCCAAUGUUUUAUUUUUAGCUGUGACAUUUAUUGGAAGUAUUGUGAUUUCAAUUGAAAGUGUUCAGAUUCUCACUUGAAGUAUUUUUCUAACUUUUGAAAUUUUUAUAUAACCCAAGUGAGUGUUACAUAAAUUUUGUUUAUAUGUGUAUGUUAUGUUAUGUUAUUAUUUUUUUCUUUUGCUAGUGACCUGAAGGGUGAAAUAACUAGAAAGAGUUUUAAUUCUCAGUUGGAGUCAAUUUGUUACCAUUGAAUUUAUUGAGAUAACACAAGUUUGGUGUUAAAUUUUUCAGGGUUGUAUUUUUCAACCUGCUUUUUUUAACAGAGAAUUUUAUUACAUACUGUCUUACCAUUUCUUACAGUGUAUACUGAUAUGCAUUGUUGGUAAAGAAGUUAUAUGUAUUUGAGAACUAAUUCCGGUGUAUUUUCAGCCAUAGUAUUGAUUGGGUUGAGGACUCUGUGGUGAAAUGGACAUCUAAGACAUACAAUCUCUGAAAAUGGAUUGCUGGAAACACCCUCUGUACAUGUAAGGACCACCAAUUGUGAGUAAAGCACAGAGUAAAUUGUGUAGUGUUAACACAGUGUCAAGAUAAUUGAAAAAGACAGUGAAUUCUUACGAGUACAGAAAAUCUGCUUUGUGUUAAUCAUCCAUGAAAGCUACAGAUUUAUAUUUUCUUAAGACAUUCUCGUCAAGUAUCAUCAAGUAUUUUAUUUUGAGCAUUGCUAUGAGUACUUUUUGAAUUGAAACCUUGUAGUGUUCUCUUUAGAGAUAUGUAAUUUUCUGGGUAACAGUCUCCCAUACUAUUACUGGCUUUAAAUUUAAUUUGGUGAGUAUCCAUUUAAGAAGUAUCCGAGGCAUUUAUGUGUUAAUGUUUACCCCCUUUGCUCUGGAAGGGUGUUAAAUGAAUUUAUCUUUGGUGGGGUUGUUUUGUAGAAGAUUUGUGGUGACAUCAGCGCACGAUGAUCACAGUAGUUGUGAAUAAGUUACAACUUAUGUGUGAGUUCCGAGAACUUGCCAAAGCCAUGGAGGCCAGCAUUCAUCGGUGGGGAACGCCGAAGGCUCGGAGGGGUAGUGAGAAAAUCAAGUUUUGAAAUUUCCCGUCGGGAUCAGAACCUGAUGAAAGGAAAACUGCCGGUGAGGCUGGGGAAGCUAGUUGUUAUCAUGGGUACUAGAAUUCGGGUGAGAAAGGGAGAAGUCAGUGAUUUGAAUAGAUCUUUUGUUAAGUAUGCUUAGACUUACCCAACUUAGAUGAAUUAGUAGAGGGAGCAGCAAGAAAUGAAUAGUAUUCUACCUUAGACUUGAAAGCCACAUAUUAUUAAAGAAAUACUUAACGACAAAAGUCGAGACCUAACCACAUUUAGUGAUGGAAUAUAAUUAAUGAAGGUUUACACGCUUAUCUUUUGGGUUUUUUCAACCAGUCCCGUUAUUCUUUUUAUUUUUUACCAGAGAAGUAAACCAAGUAGUAGCCCCUUUUUGCAGCGAAGAACCGAGUUGAAUGUAACUACCCUGAUAAUGUCAUAGUGUGGACUAAUGAUUUUUCAACCUUGUCAGACAGGUUAGCUAGAGUAUUGAGAAAGUCCUUCCAGUGUUUCCCCUUUCAUACAAUUGCCAGUGGGAAGGUGUAGUUGUGCAGUUUUGAUUGGUACAGGCAGUGCAGUUAAUUUCUUUAAGUUUUGUUAGUACUUUAGGCAUAGGGCCCCUUAGGCCUUGUAAGUACCAAAUACGAAGAUGUUACCGGAGAUGAGCUGAAUGUGAAAAGCACUGUAGUAGUAACAGUAAAUGCUACCACCUGAUGAUUCUGCCAUCAAGGACAUCUACAUCUUGUUGGGAUGUGUUGAUGAUGAACAUCAACUGUUUGCUUCGCCAGUCAAGGGGCCAGAGUGACCCUGUUGGGGGAGGGAUUGUCAGUAUGUACCAUGGACAAGAGGAAUGAGUAGAUGUGUCUUACUGCAGUGAGAACAUCGUUUGGUGUGAGUGAUCAAGUUGCUUGGAGGCCCUAUCUGCAGUAGGCCUGGGUUAAUGUAGGAGGUAGUUGGGCUGGACUUUAGUCACGGCUAGGCGUGUACAAGAGUACAUGGACCUAGUGCAGUUUAAGACGCAUGCAUGAUGAAGUAAUUGCUAGGCGUGUACAAGAGUACAUGGACCUAGUGCAGUUUAAGACGCAUGCAUGGUGAAGUAAUUGCUAGGCAGGUACAAGAGUACAUGGACCUAGUGCAGUUUAAGAAGCUUGCAUUGCAAAGUAACAGAAGGGCACUGAGGUUUUGGGGGUUUCAUAGGGACCGGGUCGCUGGCAUUAAAGUCUAUUUGAGUCCAUACUCUGUCCAUUCAGAUCUUGCCUCGUCCUGCGAGUGGAGAAUGAUUCUUUUGUGAUAAGGUCAACCCAAAUACUUCAGUGGCUGGAUGGGGUCAGUCUAUCUACUCCUAGCUUGAGAUCUCAAUUGAUGAAUUUUGAAGCUUGGGUCCAGUGUCCUACAUAACUACCUGUCAUCCUAGUGGAUGUUGUAGUUAAAAGUGUUAUACAUAUCUGAUCAAUCGCCUAGAUGGAAACUACCUGUCAUCCUAGUGGAUGUUGUAGUUAAAAGUGU
rnacentral:lncRNA from 1 species